AGUGAACGCUGGCGGUAGGCCUAACACAUGCAAGUCGAACGGCAGCACAGUAAGAGCUUGCUCUUACGGGUGGCGAGUGGCGGACGGGUGAGGAAUACAUCGGAAUCUACUUUUUCGUGGGGGAUAACGUAGGGAAACUUACGCUAAUACCGCAUACGACCUACGGGUGAAAGCAGGGGAUCUUCGGACCUUGCGCGAUUGAAUGAGCCGAUGUCGGAUUAGCUAGUUGGCGGGGUAAAGGCCCACCAAGGCGACGAUCCGUAGCUGGUCUGAGAGGAUGACCAGCCACACUGGACUCGAGACACCGCCCAGACUCCGACGAGAGGCACCCUAGGCAAAUAUUUGACAUUGGGCGCAAUCCUGAUCCAGCCAUACCGCUUCGGUGUCGGAGGCGUUCGAGUUGUUAAGCCCUUGUGGUGGGAAAGAAAAGCAGCUGGUUAUAGCGCCUCUGUUCUGACGGUACCCAAAGAAUAGUCACCGGCUAGCUACGUG
rnacentral:rRNA from 1 species